AUUCGCCCUUUACGGGUUGUGAGAGCAAGAGCCCGGAGAUGGAUUCUGAGACACGAAUCAGGGCCCUACGGGGUGCAGCAGGCGCGAAAACUUUACAAUGCCGGCAACGGCGAUAAGGGGACCUCGAGUGCCAGGUUACAAAUCUGGCUGUCGUGAUGCCUAAAAAGCAUUGCAUAGCAAGGGCCGGGCAAGACCGGUGCCAGCCGCCGCGGUAACACCGGCGGCUCGAGUGGUAACCGUUAUUAUUGGGUCUAAAGGGUCUGUAGCCGGCCGGAUAAGUCUCUUGAGAAAUCUGGCAGCUUAACUGUCAGGCUUUCAGGAGAUACUGUCUGGCUCGAGGCCGGGAGAGGUGAGAGGUACUUCAGGGGUAGGGGUGAAAUCUUGUAAUCCUUGAAGGACCACCAGUGGCGAAGGCGUCUCACCAGAACGGACCUGACGGCAAGGGACGAAAGCUAGGGGCACGAACCGGAUUAGAUACCCGGGUAGUCCUAGCCGUAAACGAUACUCGCUAGGUGUCGGCCACGGUGCGACCGUUGUCGGUGCCGUAGGGAAGCCGUGAAGCGAGCCACCUGGGAAGUACGGCCGCAAGGCUGAAACUUAAAGGAAUUGGCGGGGGAG
rnacentral:rRNA from 1 species